UACAGAGACUGCAAGCGUUAUUCGGAUUCACUGGGCGUAAAGGGUGCGCAGGCGGCUAAGUGUGUCAGAUGUGAAAUCCCGAGGCUCAACCUCGGAACUGCGUCUGAAACUACUUGGCUAGAGUAUUGGAGAGGGUAACGGAAUUCACGGUGUAGCAGUGAAAUGCGUAGAUAUCGUGAGGAACACCAGAGGCGAAGGCGGUUACCUGGACAAUUACUGACGCUCAGGCACGAAAGCGUGGGGAGCGAUCCGG
rnacentral:rRNA from 1 species